rnacentral:rRNA from 1 species
CCUACGGGAGGCAGCAGUGGGGAAUAUUGCGCAAUGGGCGAAAGCCUGACGCAGCGACGCCGCGUGAGGGAUGAAGGUCUUCGGAUCGUAAACCUCUGUCAGCAGGGAAGAACGGUCACUGUGCUAAUCAGCAGUGAAUUGACGGUACCUGCAAAGGAAGCACCGGCUAACUCCGUGCCAGCAGCCGCGGUAAUACGGAGGGUGCGAGCGUUAAUCGGAAUUACUGGGCGUAAAGCGCUCGUAGGCGGUAUGUCAAGUCAAGGGUGAAAUCCCCGCGCUCAACGUGGGAACUGCCUUUGAAACUUGCAAACUGGGGUGUGUUAGAGGAGAAGUGAAUUUCAGGUGGAGG